rnacentral:rRNA from 1 species
UACGUAGGGUGCGAGCGUUGUCCGGAAUUAUUGGGCGUAAAGAGCUCGUAGGCGGUUUGUCGCGUCGGCCGUGAAAACUUGGGGCUUAACCCCAAGCCUGCGGUCGAUACGGGCAGACUUGAGUUCGGCAGGGGAGACUGGAAUUCCUGGUGUAGCGGUGAAAUGCGCAGAUAUCAGGAGGAACACCGGUGGCGAAGGCGGGUCUCUGGGCCGAUACUGACGCUGAGGAGCGAAAGCGUGGGGAGCGAACAGGAUUAGAUACCCUGGUAGUCCACGCCGUAAACGGUGGGUGCUAGGUGUGGGGGACUUCCACGUCCUCUGUGCCGCAGCUAACGCAUUAAGCACCCCGCCUGGGGAGUACGGCCGCAAGGCUAAA